UGAUGCAGCGACGCCGCGUGGGGGAUGACGGCCUUCGGGUUGUAAACUCCUUUCGCUAGGGACGAAGCUUUUGUGACGGUACCUAGAUAAGAAGCACCGGCUAACUACGUGCCAGCAGCCGCGGUAAUACGUAGGGUGCGAGCGUUGUCCGGAAUUACUGGGCGUAAAGGGCUCGUAGGUGGUUUGUCGCGUCGUCUGUGAAAUUCCGGGGCUUAACUCCGGGCGUGCAGGCGAUACGGGCAUAACUUGAGUACUGUAGGGGUAACUGGAAUUCCUGGUGUAGCGGUGAAAUGCGCAGAUAUCAGGAGGAACACCGAUGGCGAAGGCAGGUUACUGGGCAGUUACUGACGCUGAGGAGCGAAAGCAUGGGUAGCGAACAGGAUUAGAUACCCUGGUAGUCCAUGCCGUAAACGGUGGGCGCUAGGUGUGAGGGUCUUUUCACGACUUUCGUGCCGUA
rnacentral:rRNA from 1 species